rnacentral:rRNA from 1 species
AUGGCGUGCGGAGGAGAAGCAGGGCCAGGGGUGCGUCGAGAGGGUGCAGUAGCUGGUGCUGCUACCGGCGGCGAGGUACUUGGUGGCGACAAGGAGAAACGGGAGGAGAAGCGCACGGGAGAAGAGCUGCUCCGGCGGGACUGCUCCGGUGACCAGUCCGCAAGGUCGUGUCGCUGCGAAGAGCGUAGCUGGCGGGAUCGAGGUCGAGCGAUGGUGAGAGGCGAAGUGGAUGACUUCGGCCUGGCACGAUGGAGGCAAAGCAGAGGAGGGGGCGGAGCAGAGGGGAUGAGAAGCAUGGCGGCUCCAUGGCCGGCUUCAGCCCACGGCGCGAGGGUCUGGUUUGAGCGGUGCAAGGAGGCACGGGAUCCGUGA